ensembl:lncRNA
GAAGAAUUGCAUCUCGGCAAUUGGAGCAAAACCUCACUGAGAUCAUGACACAGCCCACUGAUGUGUGCUGAUCACACAAACAGCUAUAUUUCUUCUUGCAUCAGCCUCUUCGUCUUGGCUGGAGCCAAAAAAAGUAAUUGUAAAAGAUUUGCAGAAAAUGAAAAGAUCCUCCAAAUCCAUGUGCAUACUGUGGCCAGAUAAGUGGAGUAUUAUUCUAGCCCAAAUUUUCUGCGUGUGAGAGGUCAAUGAUAGGUGAGAUUUGGAGUGGGAUUUCUUCAGUGCCUGGAACCCAUUUUACUUUCCUGGAAAGAAAGCUGUUCUGGUGUCAAUUCUUUGGAAUACAGAGAAAACUAGCUCAAGCCCUGAAAUGGCUAUUUUGCACCUGUCUGCCACCUCAUCUGUCUGCUCCUGUCUGCCAUAUGAAGACGUGCUGUCUUACUAGCAAAGUAUCUGUGCUAGAAUAUGGAUUUAAUAACAGGGGUUUACUUCACUGUGACAAUCAAAGACGUUGGUGGGUACCUGCUACUGGAAAAGCUGCUUCUGGCCAAGAGCAAGCUGGUGGACUCAGAAACUUUCACAGAGCUGGACUGAGGCUGUGGAAUUCACAAAAGAUUAGGGAACCUAUGGAGAUUCCAGGAAGGCCAAAGAAUUUGUCACAGGAAGAAGAGCCUACAGAGAAAAACUGUAGCACCAUAAGAGGCAGUGCUUUCCCUAAUGUCAAAAUUGACUCUCAGAAAGAAAAAGGUGAAUGAAUUGCAACAUAGAAAUUCUGUCCAAGAUGGUCAUAGAUGCUGCUCUGAGCCACAGGAUGAAGGAAUAGAAAACAACACCCAACUUCACACAAAAUGAAAGUAGUCUAUGACACCUCUUUUGAAUGAGCCUAAUCUCCCAGAAACACACUACUGAAAAAAAGAAAGGGAAAUAAUACUUAGCGAUUUUGUGUGGGCUCAGAAAUGAAGAAGCCUUGAUGUGGCCAUUGUCAGCUAUUCUGACGG